GACGAACGCUGGCGGCGUGCCUAACACAUGCAAGUCGAACGGAACUGUUUUGAAAGAUUUCUUCGGAAUGAAUUUGAUUUAGUUUAGUGGCGGACGGGUGAGUAACGCGUGAGUAACCUGCCUUCAAGAGGGGGAUAACAUUCUGAAAAGAAUGCUAAUACCGCAUGACAUAUCGGAACCACAUGGUUUUGAUAUCAAAGAUUUUAUCGCUUGAAGAUGGACUCGCGUCCGAUUAGUUAGUUGGUGAGGUAACGGCUCACCAAGACCGCGAUCGGUAGCCGGACUGAGAGGUUGAACGGCCACAUUGGGACUGAGACACGGCCCAGACUCCUACGGGAGGCAGCAGUGGGGGAUAUUGCGCAAUGGGGGCAACCCUGACGCAGCAACGCCGCGUGAAGGAUGAAGGUUUUCGGAUUGUAAACUUCUUUUAUUAAGGACGAAAAAUGACGGUAC
rnacentral:rRNA from 1 species